CGGGGAAAGCAGGCAAUCGCCUGAUGCGCUGUUAUCAAACAGUACCAUCGGGAGGAACGUCCGGACACCAGAGGGCGGCACGCUUGAUAACAUCAAGGUGAUAAGCCCGCGAAUGCAGGCGAAUCAACGGAAAGUGCAACAGAAAACAAACCGCCGGAGUACAUCUCCGGUAAGGGUGAAACGGUGCGGUAAGAGCGCACCGCGCCAAUAGCGAUAUUCGGCGGCAAGGUAAACCCCGUGCGGUGCAAGACCAAAUAGGAUGUUGUCGGAACUGCAAAGAUUCCGGUAUGCUGCCCGCAUACUUUACAGCAUCGGGUAGGUUGCUCGAGUAUGGCAGCAAUGCCAUUCCCAGAUGAAUGAUUGCCUCGUGUGCUUGCACAUAGACAGAAUCCGGCUUAUCGCUUUCUCCGGUUA
rnacentral:RNase_P_RNA from 1 species